rnacentral:rRNA from 1 species
CCUACGGGUGGCUGCAGUGGGGAAUAUUGGACAAUGGGGGGAACCCUGAUCCAGCCAUGCCGCGUGUGUGAAGAAGGCCCUCGGGUUGUAAAGCACUUUCAGUGAGGAAGAACGCCUGGUGGUUAAUACCCAUCAGGAAAGACAUCACUCACAGAAGAAGCACCGGCUAACUCCGUGCCAGCAGCCGCGGUAAUACGGAGGGUGCGAGCGGUAAUCGGAAUUACUGGGCGUAAAGCGCGCGUAGGUGGCUUGAUAAGCCGGUUGUGAAAGCCCCGGGCUCAACCUGGGAACGGCAUCCGGAACUGUCAAGCUAGAGUGCAGGAGAGGAAGGUAGAAUUCCCGGUGUAGCGGUGAAAUGCGUAGAGAUCGGGAGGAAUACCAGUGGCGAAGGCGGCCUUCUGGACUGACACUGACACUGAGGUGCGAAAGCGUGGGUAGCAAACAGGAUUAGAUACCCGAGUAGUC